GAAAUAUGCUUUCUGACCAAAGGCGUUUUAACACCUGGAAGGCAUGCAGGUAAAAUUAGACAGACCCAGCCCACAACAACCGUAACUUAGAGUCUGUUGCCCUCAGAGUGAUGUAUCCUGGUGGAUUGACUGCAGACAGCCUAGCAGCUGGUAAUAAGGGCUGCCUGGCGAGGCCACAGUCUCAAAGACAGACUGGAAAGCUCUGCGGUCCAGCUCCUCGUCAAUCUGGUGCCGGUAAAAAUCCAUGGCCACCAGGCAGAACAGGUUGACGUCCACCACUUCGCUGGAGCCCAUUCGGCUGAUCACAUGUGGCAGUCUGGUUAAGAGGAGGUGGUUAAGGACAACAGAACAUACCUUUUAGAUACAAAGCUGAGAUCCACUGGGAGGUGGAAGCCGAGACAAAGAAGCAGGAGAGGCUCCACAUGGCCAUGGCCACCGGUGUCCUCUGAGUGAAGUUGGACAAGGACAGCAGCACCCAGUCUCGCACCAUAGACGACUGGCCUGUGGCAUGGAGUGUCUGGAAAACCUGGGGAUGGGUGUACAGCAGAGACAAAGUUGUGGAAGGAGUGUGCUUACACCAAGACAAACAGAUGGAGAAUAUUACCUAGAAAAUAUCUAUUGUGUGGUCUGGCAACAAUAAAUGAGAGUAAGAAUAACUUCAGGUACAUUGUGCAGCACAUGACUGUCCUUCUCUGAGAGACUCACUGCGCUAACAGUGGUCUUUCAUUUUAAUUUUCAAAUUGGCUGAUGUUGUGGAAAAUGUCAUUUCUGCUAAAUUACCACCCAUUUUUAAAUCAAUCUGAGAGGAGAAAUGGAGCAUGCAGAAACAGAUUUUCAGUAAAUGUUUUCCAAAAAUAAGAUCUAAACAAGGACUCAGCUUGCAAAACAUCUACAGAUGACCUCCAUUUCAGUAUAAGCAUGCUUGAAUAUCACAGCUUCAGGUGUCCUACUACAAAUUCUUUUAUUAUAUUACAUCCCUGGACAACAAAUGGAACAGUGUCUUUGCUCAAGCUUGAUGUUGUCUUGACAACCUAUUGUAUGCUUGGACAACAAAAGAGCUGGCUUGCGUAGUCAAAAUAAAAGUAAAAAAGACUUUA